GGAGGGCUGUGAGAUGGUGGGGGAGCAGGCGGGGGGAAUUUUAUUAUCUUUCUUUCAUAAUUAUCUUGGAGCAGAGAGUCAGAGAGAAUCAGAGCAGGUGCCAGAGGAGCUGACCUUGAAGGCCACGUCUCCUGAAGAGCCCAGGGCCAGCGGGCCAUUGUCAUCAGCGGCAUAUAUUUCUACUGCAAUUAUCUCGCGUCCUCUUACAACUCUCUCAGAAGUUCCUUCCGUGAUCAUUAAAACUGGCUCUGGGCUGUGGCUUUGAAAGCGGCUGGAACCGCCCAGGGCUGGAUCGUAUCCUCGUUAAGCAGGGACGGCCUUCCAGGGACUUCAACAGGAUUUCUCAGUGGUGACAAAUCGAGGGAGAUGCGACUGGGCCAUGCCAAUUACAGUAAUUCAUCUACCAUUAUUUACUGAGUGCCUACUUCCCUGGUGGCUCAGACAGUAAAGCAUCUACCUACAAUGCGGGAGACCCAGGUUCAAUCCCUGGGUCAGGAAGAUCCCCUGGAGAAGGAAAUGGCAACCCACCUCAGUACUCUUGCCUGGAAAAUCCCAUGGAUGGAGGAACCUGGUUGGCUGCAGUUCAUGGGGUUGCAAAGAGUUGGACACGACUGAGUGACUUCACUCACUCACUCACUCUGCUAGACUUUCUUAUUGCAGUAGAAAAAUGGCUGGCUGUGAUCCCUGAUACAAAUCCUCCCAUCUUCAUUCCUUAAAAAAAAAGCAAGAACCUUACCCUGCUAGUUAACCCUUUUUGGAGGGAGGGAGUUUGAUUGGGCCACUAGAGGGCCAUUCACUGAACCAGAGGGAAGAGACACUAUAAAUGGCUGGUCUGGAUCCCAUAGUGGAGGGCAGGGGGCAAGACUGAUUCAAAGAUUGGCAGCUCUUUUAGCAUAAUCUGAUUGGAGUGGAGAGUGGUGACUUUUCUGAAGAAGGUGGACGAACAAAAACAGCUGGUGUCCCCUCCAGGAGCAAAUGAAUACAGGGCCCUUCACAUACCUGAUGC
ensembl:lncRNA